CUGGAAAGGAAUGGCUGCAGCCAGCUCUGCAUGUGGAGCCAACAGGCCUUCACCUGAGAAUGCCAAAGCAGUCCACCUGAGGACCUUAUUAUGACAUGCCCUGAGUCCUGCCACACUCUCUCUACCCACACCCUGACUCGACUUCUCCUCAUGGAUUCUUCCAGGGGGUCAUAUACCUCCCCCAGGACCUGGAAGGAAGGAUGCAGAGGUCCAGGGCUAUAAUGUUUACAACAUAAUGCACAAUGGCCACAGAAACUGAGGGUGCUGGUGGCAGGGACAAGAGUGAGCCUUCUGGUAAUUGGGAAAAGAGCAGCAAGUGUUAUGAAAAGUAGCAGCCACAUGAUUCAGGAAAGGAAGUGAUCACACUGGUCACAAGGGCUGCUGAAGGUGUCAUUGAGAAGUACUUUUCUCAAACUUAGUACCUUGUUACAAACUAAAUGAUUUGAAAACAGUUGAAAUAACUACACCGAACACCUUAAGCCUAAUUACAGUCACAAACUAUCUUCUGAAACAGGAGCAAAGUCCACAGACGCUAAGGAUAGUAAUGCUGGAAACACUCUCCUGGGCAAUACUGUUUUUCAAUAAGGUGAGGGACUUUCUCCACUCCUUUAU
ensembl:lncRNA